UGGGGAAUCUUGCCCAAUGGGCGAAAGCCUGAGGCAGCAACGCCGCGUGUGGGAUGAAGGCCCUUGGGUUGUAAACCACUUUCAGCAGGGACGAAGAUGACGGUACCUGCAGAAGAAGCCCCGGCCAACUACGUGCCAGCAGCCGCGGUAAGACGUAGGGGGCAAGCGUUGUCCGGAUUUAUUGGGCGUAAAGAGCUCGUAGGCGGCUCAGAAAGUCGGGUGUGAAACCUCCAGGCUCAACCUGGAGACGCCACCUGAUACUGCUGUGGCUAGAGUCCGGUAGGGGAGCACGGAAUUCCCGGUGUAGCGGUGAAAUGCUUAGAUAUCGGGAGGAACACCAGUGGCGAAGGCGGUGCUCUGGGCCGGAACUGACGCUGAGGAGCGAAAGCGUGGGUAGCAAACAGG
rnacentral:rRNA from 1 species